CACGUCGAUAGGAGGCAUGGGGACGGACAGCAAUGUCUGAAGCUAAGCCUUACUAAUCGCUCGAUCGGCUUGAUCU
rnacentral:rRNA from 1 species